AUUGAACGCUGGCGGCAGGCCUAACACAUGCAAGUCGAGCGGAGCGGCGGACGGGGGAGUAAUGCCUAGGAAUGUGCCUGUUAGUGGGGGAUAACGUCCGGAAACGGGCACUAUUACCGCUACCUAUUAGCAUAGGCUAGGCCCGAUUGGCUAGUUGGUGGGGUAAGGGCCUACCAAGGCGACGAUCCGUAACUGGUCUGAGAGGAUGAGCAGUCACACUGGAACUGAGACACGGUCCAGACUCCUACGGGAGGCAGCAGUGGGGAAUAUUGGACAAUGGGCGAAAGCCUGAUCCAGCCAUGCCGCGUGUAUGAAGAAGGUCUUCGGAUUGUAAAGCACUUUAAGUUGGGAGGCGUUACCCACAGAAGAAGCACCGGCUAACUUCGUGCCAGCAGCCGCGGUAAUAC
rnacentral:rRNA from 1 species